AGAAAGAAAAAAAAAAUAAUAUGUAGGAGAUAACUUCAGAUUCUGAAGUCCAGUUAGGAGAACUAACAUCCAGACUGGCCUGACUCAGAUAUCUUUUGAAAUAUAAAAUCUACACAGUUAGGAGAACUAAAAUCUUUGAGUUAGGAAUAUCUUUAGUGAUCCAGACAUAACCAAAAUCUGAGUCAGGCCUAACUCUUUUUUUUUUCUCAGGA
rnacentral:lncRNA from 1 species